GGAUCAUAAAGUUUGAUUGCACCAUGUGGAAAUACUUGAUUUACAAUAUAAGGUCCAUCCCAUCUAGAUCUUAAUUUUCUUGAAAAUAAUGUUAGCCUUGAAUUAAAUAACUAGACUUGUUGAUUUGGCUCAAAGAUUUUCCUCAAAAUAUGUUUGUCAUGAAAGGCUUUCAUUUGUUCUUUAUAAAUUCAUGAAUUUUCAUAAGCCUCUUGUCUCAAUUCAUCCAAUUCACUC
rnacentral:lncRNA from 1 species